UCGCUAUGAUGAUGGAUUCCAAAACCAUUCGUAGUUUCCACCAGAAAUCUUGAUUGAUGUUGGCCAGUUCCUUCCUUGGAUGUCUGAGCGA
ensembl:snoRNA SNORD14 Small nucleolar RNA SNORD14